CACAGGGGGAGCAAGCGUUGUUCGGAAUCACUGGGCGUAAAGGGCGUGUAGGCGGUCAGGUAAGUGGGACGUGAAAUGCCUCGGCUCACCCGAGGAGCGGCGUCCCAUACUGCUUGGCUUGAGUACGGGAGAGGAUGUGGGAAUUCCUGGUGUAGCGGUGAAAUGCGUAGAUAUCAGGAGGAACACCGGUGGCGAAGGCGCACAUCUGGCCCGAUACUGACGCUGAGGCGCGAAAGCUAGGGGAGCAAACGGG
rnacentral:rRNA from 1 species